rnacentral:lncRNA from 1 species
GCUGGCGCCUUCCCCCGAUCUCCGAUUGGCAAUCCCGUGCUUGAGAACGUUGGAAAGUCAGAGCUCGACUGUGUCCGAGAAUGUUUCGCUAGAGGAACGCCUGGCGCAGUCAUAGACUGCUUGGAUUCGGCCACGACUCUCGUCUCGAUCUGAACCUCUGCUGAUAGAGCCGUCGAUGGUACUGUUGUAGCUCUGUCCUCUUCUGUCAUUCCAUCUUCAGCAGAUGGCACCUCAGAAAGCAUUGCCGGGGCC